rnacentral:tRNA from 1 species
UCCCUGGUGGCUCAGACUGUAAAAGCAUCUGCCUACAAUGCAGGAGACCUGGGUUUGAUUCCUGGGUCGGGAA